rnacentral:lncRNA from 1 species
AGAUUUCUAAAAUAGAUAAAUGUUCUUUGAAAGAAAACUUUACUAUCAAUCUUUUCUACCCCCAGGAACAUUUCAAAUGGGCUUAAAACAUUGUUUUGGAGGUGUGACUAAUGAAGCCAAGGACAUUAGCAAACAUCAUGAGAGCAGGUAUCAGGUGAAUAGAGAAGAUAUAGAAGAGGUCCUUGGUUUCCGAAUUGCCACUGGAUUGCCUCUAUCAAAUAUCCAAGAGUUUCAUGAGUGA